rnacentral:misc_RNA from 1 species
GACAAAAUCAAUUGUCUGUAUUUCUAAAUAAUCUCCUUUACUCUUCACAUAAUAACAUAUAUACUUUCGUUUCUUUUUCUUCCAUUAGCUUCCGCCUGUGUUCGCAUAUUAUAUAUAAAUAUAUGAGCAAGGCAGGUUCGUUCUCCUUUUACUAAAGCUUUCUCAGAAAACCAGAAAAAAAGGAAACAAAUUGGAUAGACAUGGGAAGAGUGAAGCUUCAGAUCAAGAGAAUUGAAAAUACAACUAACAGGCAAGUUACUUACUCCAAAAGAAGAAAUGGGCUUAUCAAGAAAGCUUAUGAACUUUCUGUUCUCUGCGAUGUUGAUGUAGCUCUCAUCAUGUUCUCUCCAUCUGGGAGACUCAGUCUCUUUUCUGGAAACAAAAGCAUUGAGGAAAUUCUGACGAGAUAUGUGAAUCUUCCUGAGCAUGAACGAGGAAGGCUACAUAAGCAAGAGUUCCUAGAAAAGGCUCUUGGUAAGUUAAAAGCUGAAGGCGAUCGAAAUCAUCAAGCGGCCAGCAACCCCGCGAUCACUGAUUCUCAGCUGGAGGUAUUAUUGCACGAUAACUACUAGCUUGCCCCAGCUUAAUUUGCACUGAGAAAAAUUCAUAUAUUCUCACUCACAGGAAUGAUCAUAUUACUUAAAAUUUCAGGAGUUUCAACAAGAAAUUGUUAGAUUCAAAUCCCAAGUGGAGGAUAUGGAAAAACAAAUAAGGAUAUUGGAGGGCAAUCUUUCCCAUACCACAACAUUACCUGAGGCUGAGUACCAAGAACAGAUACUUGAAGAGGCAUUGAAGCGCGUGCAGAUGCGUAAGGUAAUUAAUAUAUACUGAUUAACUAGUAGUCCUUCUUAACCUAUAUCUUAGAACUGCUGAAUUCAUGAUGUAACAGCAAGUUUUAGAAGAAAAGUACAAUUCUUCUGGUGCGCCAACAGUUUCACAGGUAUGUUAUGUAUAAGUCGUUAUAUUCAUCUAUGAUCUAUCCACAUGGACCUGAUGAUGCCCAAAAAAGUGCCAAAAAAUAUGCAGAGAAAUUAAAGUGUUUUCUUUAGGCAGAAAUCACAUGCAAAAUAAUUUUUUCGAGUAAAUGCUUGCCAGUGUAAUCAGGCACAUCUUCCUCCAAAGAAUGCAUAUGUAAAUGAUCUUGUCACAGAAGAAAGUCCAAACAAUGUCUUGGAUUGGCUUCGUCAGAGAGAGCCACAAGUUCAGAUCUUGAAUUUUUUGGACUCCAAUGGCCUUCUUCCCUUAAGAAACCAGGUGCAGCACGCAGCUGAAAUAUUCUUACCAUCACCUGCAACUCUUCUUCAUGGACAAAACAUAAAUCUUGAUGAUCACAUAAGCCCAAGAAGUGGUUUGGAGGACGACAAUAAUGUACAACGUCCUGAGUUUGGACAAGUUAUUGAUGUCAACUUGUCCCCAUGGGCUGAAUUUUACCCUACAGGUAACAGCUCAAUUCUCACUUCACAACCCAGAGAAAGAGCUCUUCUUGAAUUGUAUUUGUCUCGGAUUGCACCAUCAACCAUUUGACGCUGCAAUAACCUUUGAUGCUUUUUUUAUACUUUUUUUUUACCACAUCAUAUAUAUUUUCAAAGUAAUUUAGGUAUCUAAAUUGUUUGUUUUCCUUCUAUUUUGUUUUGAGAUAGAGGGGUCUGUGAAUUUUGCAUGGUGUGAAUGAUGGCGUAUAUUGGAUUGGAUUUUCUAUUAAAAAUUAAUUAUUAUCAA